GGACAAUAUUGCAAGCUCAUCAGGCAGCAAUGUGAGGUCAUCUCUUCUGACCAUGGGUUUUAAGGCAUCACUUGUUGAUAAAGCAAUUGAGGAAAAGGGUGAAGACAACAUUGACUUGUUACUGGAGACUCUUUUUGCAAAAUCUGAUCCUCCUAGAGCAGAAUCAUCAGAUUCUCUGGAUAGUUUGUUUUGUGAUGACGAG
rnacentral:misc_RNA from 1 species